UGGGGAAUUUUGGACAAUGGGGGAAACCCUGAUCCAGCCAUCCCGCGUGUGCGAUGAAGGCCUUCGGGUUGUAAAGCACUUUUGGCAGGAAAGAAACGUCAUGGGUUAAUACCCCGUGAAACUGACGGUACCUGCAGACUAAGCACCGGCUAACUACGUGCCAGCAGCCGCGGUAAUACGUAGGGUGCAAGCGUUAAUCGGAAUUACUGGGCGUAAAGCGUGCGCAGGCGGUUCGGAAAGAAAGAUGUGAAAUCCCAGAGCUCAACUUUGGAACUGCAUUUUUAACUACCGGGCUAGAGUGUGUGAGAGGGAGGUGGAAUUCCGCGUGUAGCAGUGAAAUGCGUAGAUAUGCGGAGGAACACCGAUGGCGAAGGCAGCCUCCUGGGAUAACACUGACGCUCAUGCACGAAAGCGUGGGGAGCAAACAGG
rnacentral:rRNA from 1 species